rnacentral:rRNA from 1 species
UACAGAGGGUGCGAGCGUUAAUCGGAAUUACUGGGCGUAAAGCGCGCGUAGGCGGCUUUGCAAGCCGGAUGUGAAAUCCCCGGGCUUAACCUGGGAACUGCAUUCGGGACUGCAUUGCUAGAGUAUGGGAGAGGGAAGUGGAAUUUCAGGUGUAGCGGUGAAAUGCGUAGAUAUCUGAAGGAACAUCAGUGGCGAAAGCGACUUCCUGGACCAAUACUGACGCUCAUGUGCGAAAGCGUGGGGAGCAAACAGGAUUAGAAACCCCCGUAGUCC